rnacentral:rRNA from 1 species
UACGUAGGGUGCAAGCGUUGCCCGGAUUUAUUGGGCGUAAAGGGCGCGUAGGCGGCUCUGCACGUUCGUUGUGAAAUCGCCCGGCUCAACUGGGCGGGGUCAGCGGAUACGGCAGAGCUUGAGCAAGCUAGGGGGCAAUGGAAUUCCUGGUGUAGCGGUGGAAUGCGCAGAUAUCAGGAGGAACCCCGAUGGCGAAGGCAGCCCCCUGGGCCAAAACUGACGCUCAGGCACGAAAGCGUGGGGAGCAAACAGG